ACUCAAAUGAAUUGACGGGGACCCGCACAAGCAGCGGAGCAUGUGGUUUAAUUCGAUGCUACGCGAUGAACCUUACCAGGGCUUGACAUUCCUCGGCUAAGAUUAGAGAUAAUCUGUUCCCUUCGGGGACUGAGGAACAGGUGGUGCAUGGUUGUCGUCAGCUCGUGUCGUGAGAUGUUGGGUUAAGUCCCGUAACGAGCGGAACCCCUAUUUUUAGUUGCCAUCAGUUGGGCUGGGCACUCUAGAAAGACUGCCGACAAGAAAUCGGAGGAAGGUGGGGAUGACGUCAAAUCAUCAUGCCCCUUAUGUCCUGGGCUACACACGUGCUACAAUGGUUAGUACAAUGGGUUGCCACCUCGUGAGAGGAAGCUAAUCCCAUAAAGCUAAUCUCAGUUCGGAUUGCAGGCUGCAAUUCGCCUGCAUGAAGCCGGAGUUGCUAGUAAUCGUGGAUCAGUAUGCCACGGUGAAUACGUUCCCGGGUCUUGUACACACCGCCCGU
rnacentral:rRNA from 1 species